rnacentral:rRNA from 1 species
UACGUAGGGUGCGAGCGUUAAUCGGAAUUACUGGGCGUAAAGUGUGCGCAGGCGGCAAAGCAAGUCGAGUGUGAAAGCCCCGGGCUUAACUUGGGAAUUGCGCUCGAAACUACUUUGCUGGAGUGUGGCAGAGGAAGGUGGAAUUCCGACGUGUAGCGGUGAAAUGACGUAGAGAUGCGGAGGAACACCGAUGGAGCAAGGCAGCCCCUGGGCUAACCCACUGGACGCU